AUCAUUACAAGAACGCCCGGGCUUCGGCCUGGUUAUUCAUAACCCUUUGUUGUCCGACUCUGUUGCCUCCGGGGCGACCCUGCCUUCGGGCGGGGGCUCCGGGUGGACACUUCAAACUCUUGCGUAACUUUGCAGUCUGAGUAAACUUAAUUAAUAAAUUAAAACUUUUAACAACGGAUCUCUUGGUUCUGGCAUCGAUGAAGAACGCAGCGAAAUGCGAUAAGUAAUGUGAAUUGCAGAAUUCAGUGAAUCAUCGAAUCUUUGAACGCACAUUGCGCCCCCUGGUAUUCCGGGGGGCAUGCCUGUUCGAGCGUCAUUUCACCACUCAAGCCUCGCUUGGUAUUGGGCAACGCGGUCCGCCGCGUGCCUCAAAUCGUCCGGCUGGGUCUUCUGUCCCCUAAGCGUUGUGGAAACUAUUCGCUAAAGGGUGUUCGGGAGGCUACGCCGUAAAGCAACCCCAUUUCUAAGGUUGACC
rnacentral:rRNA from 1 species